rnacentral:rRNA from 1 species
UACGUAGGUGGCAAGCGUUGUCCGGAUUUACUGGGCGUAAAGAGCGCGCAGGCGGUCGUUCAAGUCGCGUGUGAAAGCCCCCGGCUCAACUGGGGAGGGUCACGCGAUACUGAUCGACUCGAAGGCAGGAGAGGGUAGUGGAAUUCCCGGUGUAGUGGUGAAAUGCGUAGAUAUCCGGAGGAAUACCAAAGGCGAAGGCAGUGUCCUGGCUGGUAACUGACGCUCAGGUGCGAAAGCUAGGGGAGCGAACAGG